GACGUAGGGCGCGAGCGUUGUCCGGAUUUAUUGGGCGUAAAGAGCUCGUAGGCGGCUUGUCGCGUCGACUGUGAAAACCCGGGGCUUAACUUCGGGCUGGCAGUCGAUACGGGCGGGCUGGAGUUCGGUAGGGGAGACUGGAAUUCCUGGUGUAGCGGUGAAAUGCGCAGAUAUCAGGACGAACACCGGUGGCGAAGGCGGGUCUCUGGGCCGAUACUGACGCUGAGGAGCGAAAGCGUGGGGAGCGAACAGG
rnacentral:rRNA from 1 species